rnacentral:rRNA from 1 species
UACGUAGGGGGCAAGCGUUAUCCGGAUUUACUGGGUGUAAAGGGAGCGUAGGUGGCAAGGCAAGUCAGAUGUGAAAGCCCGGGGCUCAACCCCGGUACUGCAUUUGAAACUGUCUAGCUAGAGUGCAGGAGAGGUAAGUGGAAUUCCUAGUGUAGCGGUGAAAUGCGUAGAUAUUAGGAGGAACACCAGUGGCGAAGGCGGCUUACUGGACUGUAACUGACACUGAGGCUCGAAAGCGUGGGGAGCAA